GAUGAACGCUAGCGGCAGGCCUAAUACAUGCAAGACGAACGGUAAGUUGAGUAGCAAUACUUAGCCAAGAGUGUCGUACGGGUGCGUAACACGUAUGCAACCUACCCUAUACAGGAGGAUAGCCUAGGGAAACCUGGAUUAACCCUUCAUAGUAUUAUUGGAUGGCAUCAUUUGAUAAUUAAAACUGAGGUGGUAUAGGAUGGGCAUGCGUCUGAUUAGUUAGUUGGCGGGGUAAUGGCCCACCAAGACGAUGAUCAGUAGGGGUUCUGAGAGGAAGAUCCCCACACUGGCACUGAGAUACGGGCCAGACUCCUACGGGAGGCAGCAGUAGGGAAUAUUGGUCAAUGGAUGCAAGUCUGAACCAGCCAUGCCGCGUGCAGGAAGAAGGCCUUCUGGGUUGUAAACUGCUUUUGCCAGGGAUAAAUUUCCAUGCGUGGAAACUGAAGGUACCUGGUGAAUAAGCCAGGCUAACUACGUGCCAGCAGCCGCGGUAAU
rnacentral:rRNA from 1 species